GAAAAUACAGAUCACGUUUCCGAUUAACAUGUUGUCGCUUCCAAAUCAGAAACAUACGUUUCCUCCACGUUUCCAAUCAUCGUUUUUUGGGAACCGCGUUUCUGUUGCGAUUCCAAGCGCUUCCCACCGCUUUCGUAUCCGCUUCCGGUUCGGAGUCGGGAAUCAGAGCCUGAGUGGCGAUUCCAUGCAACAUAGGUUAAAACACUCUUUCAGAGUUUGAGAUUCUCUUAAAACAAAAAUAUAACUAUGUAGAAAGUUUGAGUUUGGGCCUAGACAAUUUACUUGUUAAUUUGAUAACAUGUGAUUCGGCUAUCCCUAGCAUUAGCCGAAAUACAUUUUAAACUCAGGUUAACCAUGUAACGACAAUUAGAGAGAAAUCUAUUAUAUAGCACUAAAUACGUUAUUACCAGAACUAAAAAUUAUAUGCAAAUUUAAUUUUUGAGAGUUGAAUCUAUAAUCUUUCAAUGAUUUUUUUUUUUUUUGAUUUUAUGCAUCUUACUAUACAUGAUCUAAGAAACGGUUUUGUAAGAAGAAAAAAUAUGUCAGAAUUAUAUCACAGAACAUCUGUAAUGUAAUGGAGAGUUUUUAGAGAAUUUUUC
rnacentral:lncRNA from 1 species